rnacentral:lncRNA from 1 species
UUUUAGCUUGGGAAUAGAAUAAGUCCCAUGAUUUUUAAGACAUACAAAAACUUAUAUUAAAACAGUACAAAUUUCACAAGAAUAAUUUAUGUAUUAGCUACUUAUACACACAAGCAGGAACAUAACAAUCACAUGAUCAACAUUUAAGGUCACAUGAAAAGAAAAAUGAUCAUGUGAUCAAAUCUCUCACACAAAUAAAUAACUAUCUUUUGCAUUUUUUGUGGAUGAUAAUUCAAAAUAUGUCUGUGGAUUUUUUUUAAAUGGUGAGAAGUGGACACAUCUUGGAUUGGUUCAGUUUUGUUUGCAGAAGAAAUCAGUAUGGUACUUGGAUUUAAACAAAAUGCAUAUUGAUAAAAUGUGUUACUACAACUUACUAAUAUUUCAAUAUGUUUUUUUAUUUUUAAGCCAUUGGAUAACCAGGAUACUGCAGCUUUUGUGUUUUGUUGUAGUUUCAUACAGUUAUACAGUAAUUCAUCCAAUUGAAAAAAGAUUGCAUUUUAUUUGAGUGAAAAAUAAGGGACUGUUUCAAAAUAUUGAGCUGUUUUUUUCCUAUGAAAAGAAUAUAUUGUUAAACAAAUUAGAAUCAGUUACAAAAGUAAAGUAACAGAUCCUUGAUUUUUUUUCAAAGAAAUAUUUGUUUCCUUAAUUCAAAUAAAUUAUGAUUGCAUUGAAUAGUAUGAGUGUUACUGCUUUAAAGAUCGUGAGUUUUGAAGUAAAAAU